GGGCGAUUAGCUCAGCUGGUUUAGAGCAUCUGCCUUACAAGCAGAGGGUCGGCGGUUCGAAUCCGUCAUCGCCCA
rnacentral:tRNA from 2 species